UUUACCUUGCUAUGGCAACAGCAGGAAUACAUGGGCAUGCAUCAUCUCAUAUCUGAAGAUCAGAGACUCACACCAGCUCAACAUUGUAGAACCUCUUUAGUAAAGAAUGCAUAGUAAACAGUGAAAAUGUCCAGAGCUUCCAUGAUAGCCAUUUUUAACUGCAAGGAAGGAAAGAAGUUGAUGGGAAAGGGCAGGGGAGAAGCUGGACUAUGAAGAGGGAGAAGAAAUGUCAGAUUUUAUGGAGUAAUCAUAAAUCCAGAGUCCAAUUGUUUUUAGAGCUAAAGCACAAACAUGUAACUUACAAUGCAUUUUGUUAAAACGUAAGUAUACAGAUACUCAAAUUAUCAUGUCACAAGUGUAGCGAUUUCAGUUAUAUUAUCCCACAAUCAUUAUGGCCAUGAAAAGAUGAAUCUAUGCUUGUACUUGACUGCUGUCACAAUUUCUUCAUUCGGGCAAGACUAUUUGAAUAGAGGUUUAACAUUUUAUUCCUGCUUUUAAGUACUUAUGUUUUGGGUGAGAUACAGGAGACCAGAUGAA